rnacentral:rRNA from 1 species
UACAGAGGUCUCGAGCGUUGUUCGGAUUCAUUGGGCGUAAAGGGUGCGUAGGCGGCGGGGAAAGUCUGAUGUGAAAUCCUGGGGCUCAACCCUGGAACUGCAUUGGAUACUUCCUUGCUAGAGUACUGGAGAGGAAACUGGAAUUUACGGUGUAGCAGUGAAAUGCGUAGAGAUCGUAAGGAAGACCAGUGGCGAAGGCGAGUUUCUGGACAGUUACUGACGCUGAGGCACGAAGGCCAGGGGAGCAAACGGG